UGACAUAAUAAAGUGACCUCUGCCUCAAGUUGGUCAACAAUCCCUUCAUCUGGCAGUAGAAGUUCCUUCACAGCGAAGAAGAAUCCAUCAGCCGCAAGUCCUUCAUAAACUGAUCCAAAUGAUCCCCUCCCCAGUUGCUUACCCCUCUGCCAUUUUGCAAUGUUACGACCUAGUCUUCUUAUCUUUUGGAAUCGAGACAUCAGCGGAUCACUUUUAUUGCAUUCAUGGUUCAAAAAUUUUCUCUUGUUGCGAUGUGAAGUUCCACUAAGUAUGCAUCCGCGCAGUGACUUAUUCAGGUCUUCGAGCUCCAAUCCUUUAAAAGAGAACAAACGGACGAUUGAUGUACCAAAAACACUAUAAAAUCCGUCUCCGAAAAAC
rnacentral:misc_RNA from 1 species